ensembl:lncRNA
AGUCUUGACUGCGCAAGCAGCAUUGUUAUAACAUCUGUGCUUCAGCUUGCACGUACAUUGCCCGCAUCCUGUAGGCAGGUACAAGAAAAAAGUUGUUGAGCUCUGUGCCUCCUCCUUGCACUUUCACCACUUGCCCCUGGCACUCUUCAGCCUGCUGUGUGCUACACCUGUCCGGAGGAAUGCUGCCACAGGGAAACACGGUGCAUUAAAUCCAGCUGAACGUGAGUGACUCAGCCCAUGAUCUUGAAUCACUUUUUAAACCUGCGAUGAUUUUGAGGAAACCCCAAUGGAACAUAAGCAACACAUUCCUGGCGAUCAAAGAAUGCUCCACACAGGAAGUACACGGGAAAAGAAGCAAAUCCAACACGAAAAAGACACAUGCAAAUACAAGUGAAUUGGCUUAGAGAAAGAAUUGUUACCAAGGUCCACUGUUGGAAAUACAUCUGAAAGAGAUAACCUUGGAAGCUGGUCACCUGAACACAGUGAGAAAAAGGGUGUGAGAAAGGAAGGACCUGAUCAUCCAUCAGAUGGAAUCCAGACGUGACAAUUAGAGUUAAUGAACCAUGACCCAAGAAGCAGUUUCUGCACUUUACAAUCCUACUUCAUGGCCUCAGUAAAACUUUCAGGGCUUUUUUUUUUUUUCCCACAGAACACAUCUGCUCCAAAUUCUAAAGGGAGAAACUGGUUUCAGAAGUUACAUUUGGUUUCUUCCCUACUUUUCAGUCAUGUAUGAGAGUAGGUAUAGCUAAUGAAGCAGUGUCUCUUUUUCCCCAAAGUCCAGAAGAUCUACUGAACUUCUAAUCCUGAGGUGGAAUUGAUCUUUCUUUCCCUACGAGCAAAGUAUUCCUGCAGUCAGAGCCUCUCAAUAGUUUCUCAGAAUCACAAAAAUUCAUCCAUUUGGUCUUCUGCUACUAUUUGGAAUGAAGGAUUGAAAUAGGGCCAAACAACUCUUGGUGGUUUUCUUCCCAUACCAGACACACCUUUUCUUGGCCUCCUCCAAAGAUGUGUUACCAAAACCAUAACAAUUCACUAUGAAAUCUGCUACCUAAAUUACAAUUGCUUUUUGGUUACAGUAGUGAAUUCUAAAAAAGCUUUUCCAGCAGCCCUGGUCAGAAAUCCACAAAGGAUACCUAGUGCAGAGCAGGAAGAUCUCAAGAGUUUGGAGAUAAUGUUUCACAGUCAGCUUACACUCCAGUUCCCUCUUCUCAUUGAGUUAGGAAGUGAUUGGUUGCAUCCUGCUUCUGGAGAAGACAAAGGUAUUUCAGCCAUUGGUACUCCAAACUCAAAGAAGACCAUUAUUAAGAAAUGAAAGUCCAACUUGGUCUUGUACAUGGAAAUGUCUGCAGUACUUCCAAGACUUCUUCAAGAGUCAAUGGGUCUCAUAGGAAUGGCUCACAGAGCUUUUUUUCUUACUGACACUGUCCUCAUACAUUCCAAUUUUUACAGUUAGUAUGGCAUUCUCUUCAGUGAAACUUGAGCGCACACACUCACGCUGUGUCAUGAGAAUUUUCUAGUCCUAUCACUGAAUUCCUUUCUUAUAGCUUAUAGUAAAAUCAUUUCCAAAGGAGGAGAAGAGAACAUUGCUGUUUUCUGUUCUAAUAUGAGCAUGUGAAUAAAUUAAAUGAUAUUUACAUCUUUAUAUAAGGAGCUUCACAAUUUUUCAAUAUAAAAAAAAUAAAUCUUUUUUCACAAUAAAUCUUUUUUCACAAUAAAAAAAGAUGAUCAGAAGAAAUGGAAGGAAAAGGCAUGGUAAGAGUAAAAUAUCUGAUAAGAAAUUAUUUGACUGAAAAUGAAUAGUAGAGGAAUAUUACAAAAUCUAUCCAUAUCACAAUUAAUAGAUUAAAUAAUAAAACACAUUACUUUAUUCUAGCAAGUUUUUUCAAUGCAAAAAAAUAAGCCUAUGGCUUGGUAAUAAAAGUAACUGUAAAAAAAGUAACUGUAAACUGUCUUGCCCAUCAUACAUACUAUUGCUAAGUAUAGUUUUAUUUUUUCACUAUAUUAACUUCCCAAGAGCUCAUUAAAUGUUACUGAUAUUGAAAACAUGGUCAAUCAGGUGAAAUAAAAUAAAAUGGAAAAAAAUUAAAAAUAUCAGUAGAUCAAGUGUUUGUUGUAAAUAUCUUCUGCCUUGCUUAAACACGAGCUAAUUUUUAAGUAUGCAUGCAGAGAAGUUGUAUGAUGCUUAACAUAAUAAAUAAAACUCACGCACACUAGGCAAGUGACAUUGUAAAGAUCUAUUGUUUUAAUAAUUUCUUUCAAUCCAGUGAUACCUCAAUAAGGGAAGAACAUGUGAAAAAAUAAAUAACUGUCUCUUC